rnacentral:rRNA from 1 species
UACGUAGGUGGCAAGCGUUGUCCGGAAUUAUUGGGCGUAAAGCGCGCGCAGGCGGUCCUUUAAGUCUGAUGUGAAAGCCCACGGCUUAACCGUGGAGGGUCAUUGGAAACUGGAGGACUUGAGUACAGAAGAGGAAAGCGGAAUUCCACGUGUAGCGGUGAAAUGCGUAGAGAUGUGGAGGAACACCAGUGGCGAAGGCGGCUUUCUGGUCUGUAACUGACGCUGAGGCGCGAAAGCGUGGGGAGCAAACAGG